CAAGGAGGUUUCAUGCUUCAUAUGAACUAAAAUGACAUGAAGAGAGCUGCUGUCACGCACAAGUUUGGUGGUUAAUACACAAAUAUCCUGUUGUGUUCUAACGUUUCGUUUGCUAAAUCUUUACUUGCCCCCCGGUUUUUACACAGCAGUCGGAGGAUAGAUUCACUCAAAGGUAAAGGAGCAGAUCUGGAAGGUUCAUGGUCAUAGAGUGUUUGGUGUACUGGGAUGUGUUGGAUGCUGUCAUCUUACCACCCUCGCAAGUCGCUCAGGUUUGCUGACCGUGAACUGGUUGGAUGCUUUAUGUCCCGGGAAGCCUUCAUGUCUGUGACCUUCUGGCUCUCCCUUUUAGUUAUGCUGUCAUAGCUAGUCUUGCUGGAGUCCCUGCCUGCACUUUACACAUAAUUCUACUUUGUCUUUAAGCAUCACAUGAUCAGAAACUUAAUAUCUUUCUCUUUCUCUCUCUACCUUCUCUGUCGAGCUAUACACCCCACUCCAGAGCUCCCAGUGUUUGCCAGUUUCCAGUGUGACCACUGCCCUACCCCUGGUCGGAGUCUCGCCGCUUGAUGGUGCCCACUGGUGCUGUGGAUGGAUCUGUGUGGACCAGGAGACAGCCAUGGACAGAGCCACUUGGGGACUUUCACACCAUCACAGAUAUGCCAUUUCAUCUGUCAGCCCGUGACAGCAAAGAACUAGUGUUUAUAAUGACCUUAGAAACUACAAUGACCUAGUAGUUCCUCAUGGUCAUUGAUUGCUGUUGUAGAAAGGACAUUAAUCAGCUACAGUUACAUUAUUUACUCUUAGUGUCACCCAAAUGAGGAUGGGUUCCCUUCUGAGCCUGGUUCCUCUCAAGGUUUCUUCCUUUCCAUCCCAGGGAGUUUUUCCUUGCCACCGUCGCCGUCGCCACAGGCUUGCUCAUUAGGGAUAAAAUAGUCUAAUUAUAGAAUUUAAUAAUUUAUUCUUAUUUCUAGUUAAUUAGUUAUUUUUAUUUUUUAAUUAUUAUUUUUCAUUUUCCCCUCCUUUUUCUCUGUUUUCUUCUUUUG